rnacentral:rRNA from 1 species
UACGGAGGGUGCAAGCGUUGUUCGGAAUUAUUGGGCGUAAAGCGCGUGUAGGCGGUUUGUUAAGUCUGAUGUGAAAGCCCCGGGCUCAACCUGGGAAGUGCAUUGGAAACUGGCGGACUUGAAUACGGGAGAGGGUAGUGGAAUUCCUGGUGUAGGAGUGAAAUCCGUAGAUAUCAGGAGGAACACCGGUGGCGAAGGCGGCUGCCUGGACCGAUAUUGACGCUGAGACGCGAAAGCGUGGGUAGCAAACGGG